rnacentral:rRNA from 1 species
UACGGGGGGGGGCGAAGCGUUGUUCGGAAUUACUGGGGCGUAAAGGGCUCGUAGGCGGCCAACUAAGUCAGACGUGAAAUCCCUCGGCUUAACCGGGGAACUGCGUCUGAUACUGGUUGGCUUGAAUCCGGGAGAGGGAUGUGGAAUUCCAGGUGUAGCGGUGAAAUGCGUAGAUAUCUGGAGGAACACCGGUGGCGAAGGCGGCAUCCUGGACCGACACUGACGCUGAGGAGCGAAAGCCAGGGGGAGCAAACGGG